GGGGAAAUAUCAAGAUUAGUUAUAGAAAUUAAUGGGAAUGUGUGUUAGUGUGUGAGGGCGGAGUUCAACAAAGGCGGUGCUUCCUCAGGGCAGCAUGCACACUGGAGCCGCUGCUGGCUGUGAAGAGAACAAUAGUCAGACUGAAUGUUGAACAUCAGCUGCUUCCUCCUGCUGAUUUAAACCUUGGUGGACAGAUGGAACAUUGGCUGUGGAUUAUUCUGGCUGCUCUUUUCUCUGAGUGUAAAGGAGACUCAGUGAAGCAGACAGAAGGAGAAGUUGUUGCUGCUGCAGGAGAAUCACUGACUCUGAGAUGUACCUUUAAACCCAGUGGUGGAAGUGAUGCCUUGUUCUGGUAUAAACAUGAAGAAAACAGUUUCCCAAAGUUCAUGCUGAAGCAGAUGUCAUCAACAAAAGACAAAGCUCCAGAGAUCAACAACAACAGAUUUGAUGCUGACCUCAAUAAAUCCAACAAAUCCUUCAACCUGAAGAUCCAGGAUCUCUGUCUGUCAGACUCUGCUGUGUACUACUGCGCUCUGCAGCCCACAGUGACAGGAAACACCAGAACUCUGUACAAAAACCUGCAGUACUCCACAGCAGCCACUAGAGGGCCUCACUCUCUGUUAAACACUAAAACCUGCAGCUUUACACAACAGCCAUUAGGCGGCCACUAGAGGAGGAGUUCUUCACCGUUUGGACCUCUGGGCCAGUUUAUAUAUUUACUAUCUAUUGUUUUACCAACCGACUUGACUUUUGUUCAAUGUAAAAAUCAAAUUCAAGUAUGGUUUUCCAAGCAAGAAUAUUAAAUAUAAUUGCCUCUUAAGGUGAUACUCAUAAUAAAUUUAUUUAUCAUCUUCUCAUAAAACAACUUUCUGAACAGGCCAUGGAACGGAUCAAACUGCACCAAGAGUAAAAUUAAAGGCUCAUGUUUGGCCUCUGAUACCGCGGCGUAUAGAAGCUGAAAGAUUAAAAAAGGAAGAAAAUAUUUCUGCCAAAGAAUUCUCACAUUUUGAGAUUACUCUUAGAAAAGUUGUAGAAAAAACACAUUUCUGUGAGGAUUUGGUUGUUCUGUGUGUUAAUUGAGGUUUCUGUGUCAGUUGAGUCUCUGUGUUGUCUCGUCUACCCCUCAUUGAUCCCAGCUGUCUUCUUUCCUCGUCUUUACUGUCAGCUAAUGUCAUCGUCUCUAGAUGUGUUACUGCUCUUGCUACCAGUCCUGAGCUCCAAGCCUUCUGCUCACCUGUGCUGCCUGGAUUGUGUUUUUCUUCAUUAAAACCAUCAACAUUAUUCAACAACUUGGGUCCUCUGCUUCCAUCCUCACCACUACAACUGCAAA